UACGGGGGGAGCAAGCGUUGUUCGGAUUUACUGGGCGUAAAGGGCGCGUAGGCGGCGUGACAAGUCACUUGUGAAAUCUCCGGGCUUAACUCGGAACGGUCAAGUGAUACUGUCGUGCUAGAGUACAGAAGGGGCAACUGGAAUUCUCGGUGUAGCGGUGAAAUGCGUAGAUAUCGAGAGGAACACCUGCGGCGAAGGCGGGUUGCUGGGCUGAUACUGACGCUCAUGUACGAAAGCGUGGGGAGCAAACAGG
rnacentral:rRNA from 1 species